CGGUGACGCUUUUUUAGAAGGGGAAGUAACAGAUUUUUAUCACUGACUGCAACUGUGUUAUCGGCUACUGGAAAUACUGAAAGAAUUCCAUGAGUCUGUAUUGCCUCCCCACCUAUGUCUUCGCUGCAGAGGUGGCCUCUGUGUGUGUUUGUGAGGAGGUAAUUCUGAAUUCAUGACAAUAGGUAUGGAUAUUUGAUAUUCGUAUCGUUCCAACAUCUGAGCAAUCUUCUCACGAGUGACCCCAUGUUUAUUCCUCUUUUCUAAUUCUUCAGGAUCAAAUUUCCACCAAGUAUCGGGCUCACGGAACUCCACUCUGUACCCCUUUUCUAGAGCCACUUCCACAUACGGUUUCAUCUCCCAGGCUUGAGUGUUAGUGUUGUCUAUUAUAACUGGAGAUUUUCCCUGCUCCAUUGCCUGUUUGGCUCUCUUCUGGUUCCAGUCAUGGGCAUCACCCAGCUGAGCAGCAUUAUAUGUAUAUCCAUCUUGUUGACGAAAGUAAUCAUCGGUGCUGAGUACAAUGCCAUCACGACUAUGAUCAAGCAGAAAACGAGAUAGCGUUGAUUUCCCCGACCCAGGUAGGCCUCUUAAGAUAAGGAGCACUUUCUGUGAACAAUCAAAUCUCUCCUCAGGCGGGGAAGAAAAUCUAUGCAUUCCUUCUGCACUGUAAGUUUUUGGUUCUUUCCAAUACUCUUCUCUGGUUUCACAGAAACCAUUACUUUGGAGACCACUCUGGUGAUUAUUUCCAUUUCUGAAGACCUGAGUAUUAUGGAAAUCAGUAUGACCAACACUGUAGCUACCCUGAUCAUGCAAUGGAC
rnacentral:lncRNA from 1 species